rnacentral:rRNA from 1 species
UGGGGAAUAUUGGGCAAUGGGGGAAACCCUGACCCAGCGACGCCGCGUGCGGGAAGACGGUCUUCGGAUUGUAAACCGCUUUCAGCAGGGAAGAAGCAAGUGACGGUACCUGCAGAAGAAGUCACGGCUAACUACGUGCCAGCAGCCGCGGUAAUACGUAGGUGGCGAGCGUUAUCCGGAAUUACUGGGUGUAAAGGGUGUGUAGGCGGGGAAGCAAGUCAGGCGUGAAAUUCAUGGGCUCAACCCAUGGGCUGCGCUUGAAACUGUUUUUCUGAGAGUGGGAGAGGUAAACGGAUUCCUGGUGUAGUAGUGAAAUGCGUAGAUAUCAGGAGGAACACCGGUGGCGAAGGCGGUUUACUGGACCAUUACUGACGCU